rnacentral:rRNA from 1 species
CGUACACUCCUGCGGGAGGCAGCAGUGAGGAAUAUUGGACAAUGGGUGGAAGCCUGAUCCAGCCAUCCCGCGUGCAGGAAGACGGCCCUAUGGGUUGUAAACUGCUUUUAUCUGGGGAUAAACCUACUUACGUGUAAGUAGCUGAAGGUACCAGAAGAAUAAGCACCGGCUAACUCCGUGCCAGCAGCCGCGGUAAUACGGAGGGUGCAAGCGUUAUCCGGAUUUAUUGGGUUUAAAGGGUCCGUAGGCGGACUGAUAAGUCAGUGGUGAAAUCCGACAGCUUAACUGUCGAACUGCCAUUGAUACUGUUAGUCUUGAGUAAGGUUGAAGUGGCUGGAAUAAGUAGUGUAGCGGUGAAAUGCAUAGAUAUUACUUAGAACACCAAUUGCGAAGGCAGGUCACUAAGUCUUAACUGACGCUGAUGGACGAAAGCGUGGGGAGCGAACAGGAUUAGAAACCCCAGUAGUCCCAUGAU